rnacentral:misc_RNA from 1 species
GCUCCGUAUGACCAGCUGCAAAUGAUGGAACGCUUAGUUGAAGUUCCUCAACUUACUCCUGCAUAGGGAUGAUUUGAAGUCGAAAAUCGAAUACAAAUACAGUUUGGAAGAACUUUUGUAUUUUAAUUAUACGUAGAUAGAAAUUUUCACUACCAUUUUAGUUCAUAAUAUUGUUAUCUUUGUAGCAAAUCUUCACUAGUGUGUAUCAUUUU